GAAAACACCCCGGGGGCACGAGGAAGCAAUUUGCUCUCGGGUUUGGGAGUCAGCACCAGAAUCAGAAUAUCCUAAGGAGGAAAGAAAACUGAGCGAGCCGGGCUAGGGUGCUGCACUGGGCAGUGAAUGAAUGAAUCCCUGCCCUGGGGUUGACACUCCAGUGAGAUGAAGAGACAGACCCAACAUGACUGCAUACGAGCCACAUGAGAGGAGAGGAGAUUGCAAUUUCUGCCGGAACUUUCUCUCAUCCCGAGUUUGAAGAGAGCAAGUGGCAGGGGAGGAGGUGCGGUGAGAGGGCCGGGGGAGGGAACCAGAGGAGAAGAUAGAGGCGUGAGAGGGAGAGAGCCGGAAGAG